AUUGAACGCUGGCGGCAGGCUUAACACAUGCAAGUCGAGCGGGGUGAUGGUGCUUGCACUAUCACUUAGCGGCGGACGGGUGAGUAAUGCUUAGGAAUCUGCCUAUUAGUGGGGGACAACAUCUCGAAAGGGAUGCUAAUACCGCAUACGUCCUACGGGAGAAAGCAGGGGAUCACUUAUGACCUUGCGCUAAUAGAUGAGCCUAAGUCGGUUUAGCUAGUUGGUGGGGUAAAGGCCUACCAAGGCGAGGAUCUGGAGCGGGUCUGAGAGGAGGAUCCGCCACACUGAGACUGAGACACGGCCCAGACUCCUACGGGAGGCAGCAGUGGGGAAUAUUGGACAAUGGGGGGAACCCUGAUCCAGCCAUGCCGCGUGUGUGAAGAAGGCCUUAUGGUUGUAAAGCACUUUAAGCGAGGAGGAGGCUCUUUUGGUUAAUACCCAAGAUGAGUGGACGUUACUCGCAGAAUAAGCACCGGCUAACUCUGUGCCAGCCGCCGCCGUAA
rnacentral:rRNA from 1 species